GGGGAAUAUUGGGCAAUGGGCGAAAGCCUGACCCAGCAACGCCGCGUGAAGGAAGAAGGCCCUCGGGUUGUAAACUUCUUUUAUCAGGGACGAAACAAAUGACGGUACCUGAUGAAUAAGCACCGGCUAACUCCGUGCCAGCAGCCGCGGUAAUACGGAGGGUGCAAGCGUUAAUCGGAAUUACUGGGCGUAAAGCGCACGUAGGCUGCUUUGUAAGUCAGGGGUGAAAUCCCACGGCUCAACCGUGGAACUGCCUUUGAUACUGCUUAGCUUGAAUCCGGGAGAGGGUGGCGGAAUUCCAGGUGUAGGAGUGAAAUCCGUAGAUAUCUGGAGGAACAUCAGUGGCGAAGGCGGCCACCUGGACCGGUAUUGACGCUGAGGUGCGAAAGCGUGGGGAGCAAACA
rnacentral:rRNA from 1 species